rnacentral:rRNA from 1 species
UAGGGAAUAUUGCGCAAUGGGGGCAACCCUGACGCAGCGACGCCGCGUGAGUGAUGAAGGCCUUUCUGGUUGUAAAGCUCUGUAAAGAGGGAAGAAUGUCAGGCGGUAAUGCGUCUGAGUGACGGUACCUCUGAAGUAAGGACCGGCUAAACACGUGCCAGCAGCCGCGGUAAUACGUGUGGUCCUAGCGUUGUCCGGAAUAACUGGGCGUAAAGGGUGUGUAGGCGGAUAUCCGUGUCAGGUGUGAAGUCCCCCGGCUUAACUGGGGCAGUGCGUGUGAAACUGGAUAUCUGGAGCGGGGCAGGGGUAAGCGGAAUUCCCGGAGUAGCGGUGAAAUGCGUAGAUAUCGGGAAGAACACCGGUGGCGAAGGCGGCUUACUGGGACAUGGCUGACGCUGAGGCACGAAAGCGUGGGGAGCGAACG